rnacentral:rRNA from 1 species
GACGAACGCUGGCGGCGUGCUUAACACAUGCAAGUCGAACGGAAAGGCCCUGCUUUUGUGGGGUGCUCGAGUGGCGAACGGGUGAGUAACACGUGGGUAACCUGCCCUUGACUUUGGGAUAACUUCAGGAAACUGGGGCUAAUACCGGAUAGGAGCUCCUGCUGCAUGGUGGGGGUUGGAAAGUUUCGGCGGUUGGGGAUGGACUCGCGGCUUAUCAGCUUGUUGGUGGGGUAGUGGCUUACCAAGGCUUUGACGGGUAGCCGGCCUGAGAGGGUGACCGGCCACAUUGGGACGGAGAUGAGGCACAGACUCCUACGGGAGGCAGCAGUGGGGAAUAUUGCACAAUGGGCGGAAGCCUGAUGCAGCAACGCCGCGUGCGGGAUGACGGCCUUCGGGUUGUAAACCGCUUUCGCCUGUGACGAAGCGUGAGUGACGGUAAUGGGUAAAGAAGCACCGGCUAACUACGUG